GGCUUUGCAGCUCAACUGGUAGAGCGCAUGCCGCGUUUGGGUGUGCUGUUUCUGUCGCUGGUUCGGUUCCAGCCAAAGCCC